rnacentral:rRNA from 1 species
GCAAGUAUCCGCGAUCCAGUGAGCAUGCCCUAGGUACCCCGAUUUCGGGUCGAUAGGAGCGGACAUCAGGCACACCCUCUUCACCAAUCGUAGCCCAAGACGUCUAGCAGUUGCCACGCCCCCACGGGUCCUCAGCAGUAGUUAACAUUAAGCCAUGAGUGAAAACUUGACUUAGUCAUAGCAAUUUAGGGCCGGUAAAUCCUGUGCCAGCCACCGCGGUCAUACAGGAGGCCCGAAUCAACAUUACUUACGGCGUAAAGAGUGGUCGCAUGCUAUCCAAGUAACUAAGAUUAAAAAGCAACUGAGCCGUCAUAAGCCCAAGAUGCCCAUAAGGCCGCUAUUCAAAGAAAAUCUUAGACUAACGAUCGAUUGAACCCACGAAAGCCAGGGCCCAAACUGGGAUUAGAUACCCCACUAUGCCUGGCCGUAAAUCUUGAUGCUUGAUCUUACCGGAGCAUCCGCCCGAGAACUACGAGCGCCAACGCUUAAAACUCUAAGGACUUGGCGGUGUCCCAAACCCACCUAGAGGAGCCUGUUCUAUAAUCGAUGAUCCACGAUAUACCUGACCAUUCCUUGCCAAAACAGCCUAUAUACCGCCGUCUCCAGCCCACCCAGCAUGAAGGCCCAACAGUGGACGCAAUAGCCAUACCACGCUAGUACGACAGGUCAAGGUAUAGCCCAUGGAAUGGUAGUAAUGGGCUACAUUUUCUAGUUUAGAAUACUACGGCAAAGGGACAUGAAACUGUCCCUGGAAGGCGGAUUUAGCAGUAAAGUGGGACAAUCGAGCCCUCUUUAAGCCGGCCCUGGGGCAUGUACAUACCGCCCGUCGCCCUCCUCAAAAGCUG